GCAAGUCGAGCGAACAGAUAAGGAGCUUGCUCCUUUGACGUUAGCGGCGGACGGGUGAGUAACACGUGGAUAACCUACCUAUAAGACUGGGAUAACUUCGGGAAACCGGAGCUAAUACCGGAUAACAUAUUGAACCGCAUGGUUCAAUAGUGAAAGGCGGCUUUGCUGUCGCUUAUAGAUGGAUCCGCGCCGUAUUAGCUAUUUGGUGAGGUAACGGCUUACCAAGGCUACGAUGCGUAGCCGGCCUGAGAGGGUGAUC
rnacentral:rRNA from 1 species